GCGUCGCUGGUGUAAUGAUAUCAUGCAGAAUUCCCAUUCUUGCAAUCCGGGUUUGAUUCCCGAGCGACGUA